rnacentral:ncRNA from 2 species
GCGCCCGCUCCGGGGUGCACGCUGCGAUACGUGCUGAGAUGGCUCAAGCCAAACCCGCGAACUUGAACCGGUUAGUACCGGCGUAAGAAGAGCUGCAUCAUCUCGG